CUGCAUGGAGCUGCUGGUGCUGUCCCAUCUCUCAGGACUUGGAACCAUGGACUACUAUGUGCAUGACAGUGAGAUAGUCUGCUGGAGGAUAGAAGGCUACAUGUAGAAAUGAAGCACUCGGCCAACAGCCUGUGAAUGCCAGACAUGUGCAUGAGGCCAUUGUAGAUCAGAUGCCAGGUCACCCACCAGCUAACCACAGACAUGUGAAAGAGCAUAGAGAGAUCAG
rnacentral:lncRNA from 10 species